GACGAACGCUGGCGGCGUGCCUAAUACAUGCAAGUUGAGCGCUGAAGGUUGGUACUUGUACCCACUGGAUGAGCAGCGAACGGGUGAGUAACGCGUGGGGAAUCUGCCUUUGAGCGGGGGACAACAUUUGGAAACGAAUGCUAAUACCGCAUAAAAACUUUAAACACAAGUUUUAAGUUUGAAAGAUGCAAUUGCAUCACUCAAAGAUGAUCCCGCGUUGUAUUAGCUAGUUGGUGAGGUAAAGGCUCACCAAGGCGAUGAUACAUAGCCGACCUGAGAGGGUGAUCGGCCACAUUGGGACUGAGACACGGCCCAAACUCCUACGGGAGGCAGCAGUAGGGAAUCUUCGGCAAUGGACGAAAGUCUGACCGAGCAACGCCGCGUGAGUGAAGAAGGUUUUCGGAUCGUAAAACUCUGUUGGUAGAGAAGAACGUUGGUGAGAGUGGAAAGCUCAUCAAGUGACGGUAACUACCCGGAAAGGGACGGCUAACUACGUG
rnacentral:rRNA from 1 species